AGCUCGACAAAGUUCCAGCAUCCAGCAAAAUGUAGAGGUAGUGGAAGAGGGGAGGAUGAGAAUUCAAAGAGAUGGGAAAAACUGCGAUGGUGUGUUUGGGAAUGAGCAUUAGUUGCUUGAGGGGGUAAAGGGUGAGUACCACGUGCAAUCCAUGUUUGCAAUUCAACUCUUUCUCCAUCAGUGAGCUUAUAGGAAGCUCUGUGGAAGGAAGAUGUGGAAAUCCGAGUCAGGAACGUGCUUCUUGAGCACAUCGAUCCUGGAAACGCCAAAUUGAAGAAGCAUAAGUAUCGUAUGUGCUGAUCUUACUAAUCCCGCUAAUUCUCAAGCAUGUGCUAGUACUAAUAUGCAAGCCAAGGUUAAGGCUAGCCAAAUGGUUUUUAAUUAGUUUCCGUUCCAUCCACAAACAUAACUGCCUUGCACUUGGUUCCAUUAUUCUUUGAGGAGAUAGUGCUAUAAGUUAUACUAAGUUUUGUAAACCAAACUUAAAAUUGUUUUUUUGU
rnacentral:lncRNA from 1 species